rnacentral:lncRNA from 10 species
UUGAAUUCUCAUUGAGCAUCUCGCUUCUUAAAAGUUUCAACAACUCAGCAGUCUAUAAUCCAACUCGCCUUCUCCACAAUGCCAAAAGGGCAAUGAGCUUCAUGCUGAAUACUGAUUUGAAGUGUGGUUCACCACACAGACUUAAAUUGUCCUUCCCACAACUUUAUCUGAGAAGCAUGACAACGGUGACAAUCACAGGACUAGUUUUAUUGGG